GGGUUGUGAGGUUAAGCGACUAAGCGUACACGGUGGAUGCCCUGGCAGUCAGAGGCGAUGAAGGACGUGCUAAUCUGCGAUAAGCGUCGGUAAGGUGAUAUGAACCGUUAUAACCGGCGAUUUCCGAAUGGGGAAACCCAGUGUGUUUCGACACACUAUCAUUAACUGAAUCCAUAGGUUAAUGAGGCGAACCGGGGGAACUGAAACAUCUAAGUACCCCGAGGAAAAGAAAUCAACCGAGAUUCCCCCAGUAGCGGCGAGCGAACGGGGAGCAGCCCAGAGCCUGAAUCAGUGUGUGUGUUAGUGGAAGCGUCUGGAAAGGCGCGCGAUACAGGGUGACAGCCCCGUACACAAAAAUGCACAUACUGUGAGCUCGAUGAGUAGGGCGGGACACGUGGUAUCCUGUCUGAAUAUGGGGGGACCAUCCUCCAAGGCUAAAUACUCCUGACUGACCGAUAGUGAACCAGUACCGUGAGGGAAAGGCGAAAAGAA
rnacentral:rRNA from 1 species